CUCUUUUCUGUUGUGGCGGGCGCCUUCACUCACUCGCGGGGAGAUCGGGAUGCGAGAGCAAGGAGACGAUCGAUCGCGGACGAGAGGCAGCCUCCGGGGCCAGACCCUAGGGCAUCCGCACCCCCGCAGCCUGUCCGAGCUCUCAGAGAGACACCUCUCGCCCCGAGGGGCUCAAGCGCCGCGCGGGGGAGCUCUCCAGCCGCCGCCUAGCCUCCCGGGCUCCGUCACCCUCUUGCCUUUUCCGUGACGCAAAGCUGGCACAUUGAAAGAGCCCCUGAUGCUGGGAAAGAUUGAGCGCAGGAGGAGAAGAGGGUGACAGAGGAUGAGACGGUUGGAUGACAUCACCGACUAAAUGAACAUGAGUUUGAGCAAACUCCAGGAGAUAGUGAAGGACAGGGAAGCCUGGCAUUCUGCAGUUCAUGGUGUACCAAAGAGUUGGACACGCCUGAGCGACCUAACAACUCUUGUCCUCUGUUCAUUCAUUCUGUCUUUGUCUCAUUCAUUUGAUCAUGCACUCAAGGAAACAUUAACUGAGUAUUCUGUACCAGGCCUCCUGGGCUACAAAGACGAACAAGGCAUUGUUUUCACCUACCAGAAGUUCAGACGGAUCAGGAAAAUAAAGCGACGUUCCCUGCCCAGUGUGGUCAGUGCCAUGAAAUGUGACUGGAAGGGCACCUAUCCUAACCUGGGUUGAACAAGGAUCAAGGAACACUUCCUGGAGGAGGAGUGUCAACUACAAAUUGGCACUUGCCAUCUACCUAUCUAACUAUAAGGAUUAAAGCAUGUGCUGCUACAGCACUGGCCUUCAACACCCCUGAAGGAGUUCAGGGUGGAAAGCAGAAAUGAGGCACUCUGUGCUCAGGGAAAAACUGGCAGGACAGGUCUUCAGAUAGAUAUUCUCGGGAGCUGAUUUUAUGAGCCCAAUUCUUGUGUCUCCUCAUAUUAAGAAAAGCACUAAAACUAAAAUCCUUAAUGCUGAUGAAAAGAAGCUUCACAAGACUAGCAGAAACCUACAAAAAAUAUUUG
ensembl:lncRNA